AUGAUCAAGCAGGGUCCAGACUUACCAGCACCACUACCAGCAGAAACUCUGUCUGACACCAACGGGGACACGGACGACACUGACCACAAAAGGAUCUACGGAUUCCAUCAGGAGCUGGAGCACCAGCGAGAGCUGAACAUCAUGGAUACAGUAAUACUAGAACCAUCCACUUACAGAAGACGACACCCUUUCCAAGGCAGCUCUCAUGUUUUCCUCCUUGAUCCUCCCAAGUCCGGCCAUAAUAGCGGGGCCCUAAUGAGCAAAUAGGCUAUCGUUUUUGCUGGUUCUGUUGUUUACCAAUUCGCCCUUCGAGAUAGCUGAGUCCUCAUUAUGGAUCCAUAAUCCCUUAUCUGCAAUUCUAAAAUUCAUAAAGCUCUGAACUCUGAGAGGUUUUUCUUCUCUGAGUUUGUAGGAAACUAAUCUGACAGCCAAACCUUACCUGAAC
rnacentral:lncRNA from 1 species